CCUACGGGUGGCAGCAGUGGGGAAUAUUGCACAAUGGGCGCAAGCCUGAUGCAGCCAUGCCGCGUGUGUGAAGAAGGCCUUCGGGUUGUAAAGCACUUUCAGCGGGGAGGAAGGCGGUGAGGUUAAUAACCUCAUCGAUUGACGUUACCCGCAGAAGAAGCACCGGCUAACUCCGUGCCAGCAGCCGCGGUAAUACGGAGGGUGCAAGCGUUAAUCGGAAUUACUGGGCGUAAAGCGCACGCAGGCGGUCUGUCAAGUCGGAUGUGAAAUCCCCGGGCCCAACCUGGGAACUGCAUUCGAAACUGGCAGGCUAGAGGCUUGUAGAGGGGGGUAGAAUUCCAGGUGUAGCGGUGAAAUGCGUAGAGAUCUGGAGGAAUACCGGUGGCGAAGGCGGCCCCCUGGACAAAGACUGACGCUCAGGUGCGAAAGCGUGGGGAGCAAACAGGAUUAGAUACCCGAGUAGUC
rnacentral:rRNA from 1 species